rnacentral:tRNA from 1 species
CGGGAAGUGGCUCAGCCUGGUAGCGCGCCCGGUUCGGGACCGGGAGGCCGCGGGUUCGAAUCCCGCCUUCCCGACCA